rnacentral:tRNA from 1 species
UCUAGUUUAACAUAUUUAAUGUGGAGGGUUGUAAACUCUUUUAAGACUUUUGUCAACUAGGA